rnacentral:rRNA from 1 species
GAUGAACGCUGGCGGCGUGCUUAACACAUGCAAGUCGAACGGAGUGCCUUUGAAAGAGGAUUCGUCCAAUUGAUAAGGUUACUUAGUGGCGGACGGGUGAGUAACGCGUGAGGAACCUGCCUUGGAGUGGGGAAUAACACAGUGAAAAUUGUGCUAAUACCGCAUAAUGCAGUUGGGUCGCAUGACUCUGACUGCCAAAGAUUUAUCGCUCUGAGAUGGCCUCGCGUCUGAUUAGCUAGUUGGUGGGGUAACGGCUCACCAAGGCGACGAUCAGUAGCUGGUUUGAGAGGAUGAUCAGCCACAAUGGGACUGAGACACGGGCCCAUACUCCUACGGGAGGCAGCAGUAGGGAAUUUUGCGCAAUGGGCGAAAGCCUGACGCAGCAACGCCGCGUG